AUUGAACGCUGGCGGCAUGCCUUACACAUGCAAGUCGAACGGUAACAGGUCUUCGGAUGCUGACGAGUGGCGAACGGGUGAGUAAUACAUCGGAACGUGCCUAGUAGUGGGGGAUAACUACUCGAAAGAGUGGCUAAUACCGCAUGAGAUCUACGGAUGAAAGCAGGGGAUCGCAAGACCUUGUGCUACUAGAGCGGCCGAUGGCAGAUUAGGUAGUUGGUGGGAUAAAAGCUUACCAAGCCGACGAUCUGUAGCUGGUCUGAGAGGACGAUCAGCCACAUUGGGACUAAGACACGGCCCAGACUCCUACGGGAGGCAGCAGUGGGGAAUUUUGGACAAUGGGCGCAAGCCUUAUCCAGCAAUGCCGCGUGCAGGAUGAAGGCCUUCGGGUUGUAAACUGCUUUUGUACGGAACGAAAAGCCCUGGGUUAAUACCCUGGGGCCAUGACGGUACCGUAAGAAUAAGCACCGGCUAACUACGUGCCAGCCGCCGCGGUAA
rnacentral:rRNA from 1 species